ACUGUUGACGUCCUAGAUCAUGUGGUUUGUUUUCUUGAUACCUGAUAUAUAGCAUGACAAGGAAUGUGUUCACAUACCCCGUGUGCUAGUGUGGAAGCAAUGAUUGAUGUUGCCAUUUAAGGGCAUAUGAAUGCAGGGAAGACUGUUUCCUAAUACAUUCUGUGUCCAUUUCUGCCUUCAACAAAGCAAGCCACUCUGAAAAAUGGAACCCGGGUGGACAUCUGUGACAGCCUGGAUCCCUGUUACAUUGCAUUCAGCGACAUUUUUUCCCUACUGAGGACACAUGGCUAAUGAGACCUUGCUGUGGCCUUCACAAUCAUUGCAGCUGCCCUCUGGCCCGUGGUCAUCUUUUCAGCCAAAGAGAACUUCCAGUAAUGAGGAAGGCAAAUGUUACUAUGUGUGUACCAGCUAUUAACAAAUUUGUUCAACAAGCAUUUCUUAACUGCCUAUCAAGUAUAGUUUCAAGUAGUACAUGCUUUAUGUAUGACAAUGGAGCCAUAAAUUUCAAGAUGGAGAACAUUAGGUACAGCACUGUUGCAGGGUAAUAAUGUGUCUCUUUCUACAUUUUAACUAAUUACAGAAAAUAUUAAACUAUUUGAAAUCUA